rnacentral:lncRNA from 1 species
GAUAUUGCGUAAUUCAUCCGUACCUGUAGGCACUGUUCCCAUAUAUCAGGCACUUGAGAAAGUGAACGGCAUAGCUGAAAAUCUCACCUGGGAAAUUUUCAGGGAAACACUGAUUGAACAAGCUGAGCAGGGUGUAGACUAUUUUACCAUUCAUGCUGGGGUCUUACUUCGAUACAUCCCUCUAACAGCAAAAAGAAUGACAGGAAUUGUAUCACGUGGAGGAUCUAUUCAUGCAAAGUGGUGUUUGGCUCAUCAUAAGGAAAAUUUCGCUUAUGAACACUGGGAUGACAUACUUGACAUCUGUAAUCAGUAUGAUAUAUCCCUAUCGAUUGGUGAUGGGCUGAGACCUGGUUCUAUUUAUGAUGCCAACGACACUGCUCAAUUUGCAGAGCUCCUAACUCAGGGCGAACUGACUCGUAGAGCAUGGGAGAAAGACGUGCAGGUAAUGAAUAUAAAUCUCUCUUGCUUACAUAUAUGCAUGUGUUCACAAUCACACCUAUGCAUUUGAGAGCAAACCUUUUUACUCCUAGUUAUAUGCAUUUGAAAGAACAUCUCACUGUUGUAACAUUUGUAAGAACCACUCUAAGGCUUACCUAGUACAGUCAGUUUCAUGCAUGUCUUCAAACAUUUGUGGCUGAAUUGUCGGGAAUUUAGGAGCCUCUCAAGCAGUUUCUUAUGAUUUCCUCACCCAAUAACACUUUUUUACGCUGGUUUGGUGGAGAGCUUCAAUUUACAAUACAGGAUACGUCUCUUAAAUAGCAGAUUAUUUUCCCACAAUUAGUUUUAUGGGAGUGUAUGUUAAAAUGUGGAACUUACAUUUUCAUUUUUGGAAGCAGGGAAUGUUAUAUCUUCCAUGUUACUAACUAGUGACCACAUACUUGAUUUUCAGGUAAUGAAUGAAGGACCUGGGCAUAUCCCAAUGCAUAAGAUCCCUGAAAACAUGCAAAAACAGCUUGAGUGGUGUAAUGAAGCACCUUUCUACACUCUUGGUCCUUUGACUACAGAUGUAGCUCCUGGAUACGACCACAUUACCUCUGCCAUUGGAGCUGCCAAUAUUGGUGCUCUUGGCA